AAUUCAGUUAUUUAACAAGUUAUUUCUUAUACUUUCUACAGGAAUUUUGCAAAAAGGCAGUUGACAUGGUUUCGCAAUGAAAAGAUAUACCAGUGGCUUGAUGGUUCUAAACCUCUGGAAACCAUUCUCAGUUUCAUUAAUGGCGCAUACCAUGACUGGAAUGGAAGUCUUCCUGUGCCUGAACACUUAAAAAUGUCGAGAGAUAUUUCUAAUCGUCGAGAAGAAAAACAUCUAAAGUCUUACCGCACCAGAAAUAGGCAUUUUGUGAAGGGGGAAGAUUGUUCUCAUAUUCUUAAUUGGAUAAGCAAGACUCAAAGGUGAAGUGAUGGAUAUUAUUUUCCUUUUGCAUUCUUGAACUGACUUUGAAUUUCAAAUUCUAGAGUUUCCCGGUCAGAGAGAAAGUUUUGUUUUCAUUAACUUUUCUUCAUUACAUCCUUUUGUCAUCUGUAAUGUAAUAUUGUUUUCUGGAAUAUUAUAAUGACAGCUGAACUUGGAAGUUUAAGUUCUUUCCAUCCUUUCACUUGUGAACCAGUGUGUGUGUGAGAGAAGAAUAAAAUUUU